GUAUGUGUGUAUGUGUUUUACACGGGGCGGUAGAGAGGAAUGCUACUAAUGUUUUAUCAGUCUGUCAAUGAAGAGCUCCCAACCUAAUUCUGGAAAACACUGUUUUUGUUUGUUCUGCAGCAGAAAGCGAUUUCUGCCACUGUUACGUCUGCCUUGAAGAGGU